UUAACAUGCAUGAAAUGAAAAUGAAUGAACGCAUAUGUUAGGGAUGAAAUGAAAAUAAUUAUGCAACAUCCAUAGAUUCAAAACCUUGGUGGUAUAGCAACCUAAGUUCCAAGCUCCAACAUAUGUACAUCAAUGCAGUAUCAUGGGUUAACAACAUAAAUAGUCUGGAUAAUCUGCGUAUACUACCUGAUGCAGGAUCAAA
rnacentral:lncRNA from 1 species